rnacentral:rRNA from 1 species
UGGGGAAUUUUGGACAAUGGGCGAAAGCCUGAUCCAGCAACGCCGCGUGUGUGAAGAAGGCCUUCGGGUUGUAAAGCACUUUUGUCCGGAAAGAAAUCCUUGGCUCUAAUACAGUCGGGGGAUGACGGUACCGGAAGAAUAAGCACCGGCUAACUACGUGCCAGCAGCCGCGGUAAUACGUAGGGUGCAAGCGUUAAUCGGAAUUACUGGGCGUAAAGCGUGCGCAGGCGGUUUGCUAAGACCGAUGUGAAAUCCCCGGGCUCAACCUGGGAACUGCAUUGGUGACUGGCAGGCUAGAGUAUGGCAGAGGGGGGUAGAAUUCCACGUGUAGCAGUGAAAUGCGUAGAGAUGUGGAGGAAUACCGAUGGCGAAGGCAGCCCCCUGGGCAAUACUGACGCUCAUGCACGAAAGCGUGGGGAGCAAACAGGAUUAGAUACCCUGGUAGUCCACGCCCUAAACGAUGUCAACUAGUUGUUGGGGAUUCAUUUCCUUAGUAACGUAGCUAACGCGUGAAGUUGACCGCCUGGGGAGUACGGUCGCAAGAUUAAAACUCAAAUGAAUUGACGGGGUCAUAGCUG